rnacentral:misc_RNA from 1 species
AAAGUCGUAACAAGGUUUCCGUAGGUGAACCUGCGGAAGGAUCAUUAAUAAUAGCGAAAGCUUUCAUUAUAUCUUAACACCUGUGAACUAUUGCCUUCGGGCCACAAACAUAAAGUAACGAAUGUAACAUAUUAUAACAAAUAUAACUUUCAACAACGGAUCUCUUGGCUCUC